UUCCGUAGCCUUUUGGCUCAAG
rnacentral:misc_RNA from 1 species